rnacentral:rRNA from 1 species
CCUACGGGUGGCAGCAGUGAGGAAUAUUGGGCAAUGGACGAGAGUCUGAACCAGCCAAGUAGCGUGAAGGAUGACUGCCCUAUGGGUUGUAAACUUCGUUUAUAUGGGAAUAAAACGUUCCACGUGUGGGAUUUUGUAUGUACCAUAUGAAUAAGGAUCGGCUAACUCCGUGCCAGCAGCCGCGGUAAUACGGAGGAGCCGAGCGUUAGCCGGAUUUAUUGGGUUUAAAGGGAGCGUAGGUGGGUUGUUAAGUCAGUUGUGAAAGUUUGCGGCUCAACCGUAAAAUUGCAGUUGAAACUGGCAGUCUUGAGUACAGUAGCGGUGGGCGGAAUUCGUGGUGUAGCGGUGAAAUGCUUAGAUAUCACGAAGAACUCCGAUUGCGAAGGCAGUUCACUGGACUGCAACUGACACUGAGGCUCGAAAGUGUGGGUAUCAAACAGGAUUAGAUACCCUGGUAGUC